rnacentral:antisense_RNA from 1 species
CUAUAUGGUGGCUGUGUUCGGGACGCCUUCGGGCGUACCGGCAAAGUGAGUUCUCACCGGUUUGACCAACCCGAACACAGUCCGCCUCCCAU